rfam:Ictidomys tridecemlineatus contig083434, whole genome shotgun sequence.
UGGGCUGUGGCUCAGUGGCAGAGCGCUUGCCUAGCAUGCAUGAGGCUCUGGGUUUGAUUCUCAGCAUCUCAC